GGGUCACAACAUUGGUGCUCGUCUGGAGAUUGCCCUAUCGUUGAACCACUGACCUUCGGUACCUGGAAUCGCUCUGAACAUUAGCGAAUAUUGCUGCACAGAAUGUAAAUAUAUUUUUACUGGAGCUUAUAAUUACAUAGCCUUGUAUUUUUUACCUUUCCUUCAUGGGUCAUGGCCGCUGGAUUCUUAGCCGCUCAACUUGACUUGGUUUAGCGUCGUGUCACUAAUGAAGUAGAUGAUUGUGUUCUGUUAGCAGGCCCGGAUUUAGGGGGGGGCACAAGGGGCCAGUGCCCAGGGCCCCGCGCUUUUAGGGGCCCCGCGCUGAAGCGGUUUUUUUUUAUUUUUUUUUUAUUUUUUUUUUAAGGUUCUAUACCGAGGAGGGGCGCAAUCGAUGGGGUUGUUACCACAACAUGAUAUCCCCCCAAUAUUUCUGUACUUUAAGUACCCCUUUCUAAUUUUCUAUUGAUUUAAUCUAUAUGUGGUUUCGCCGUCCGUCAUGGACGAGGUAGUUUGCUCGCUAACUAUUCUCCUUGGAGCAGGCAACAUUUCCACGCCAAACAUACGUAGUGGUGCCGCUACUUCGCAGCAAAUUAAUAUACCUGUGUUACGUGUAUCUCGUUGUUGUAUAGGGUUUUUAUUCUUAAGGAAUCUAAUUAAGUGCCGUCAAACCCGUCAUUCGUAACUGUGAAGUUAAUCAAGUAAAAUAAGCAUCUGUAUUAGUAUUAGCGAAGCGUGGAUACAUGAGAGUCUCAUGUAUCCACCUGUAGAAUCAAGAUCAAGAUCAAGCCGUAUGUAAACACAAGCACGCAGCCUGCCGCCCAAGCGAAGCGGAAGCAAGCUUCCUGGUGCUGCUGCUUGGUGUUGUGGUGGUGGCCGACAGCUGACUUAUCACUGGACUGGACCAUCGGUUACUGAAGGAGAAUACUGUCACUCCUAUAAAUGUGAAAGCUGGCAACCACUUCCAAAUGUCAUAACAAUGUCCGGACGAGAGCGAGAUAAGGGAAGGAAGUAUCAGUCAGGCUCAGCAAAGCGAAAAAAAGUUGU